rnacentral:lncRNA from 1 species
AGGGGUUUUUCGCUUGUUUGUUUGGAAAAUAUAGAGCAAUGAAUCAUUUUUUUAUAUUUCAUUUCACAGAAUAAUGUUUGAUGUUUUUGCUCAAGUGAUCUUUUGCCCUCGCGUGGUUAUGGCAGUCUUGCUAGUGUCUGUGUUAGUGUGUGAGUUCGAAGUUUGGUGGGUUACAAGAGGUUAUUGGGAUGUAGCGGCAGUCCAAAUUGAAAAUCCUUGGCUGGAAGCUGACGUCAAACAAUAUGAGGUAAAAGGUUAUUGGGAUAUAGCGGCAGUCCAAAUUGAAAAUCCUUGGCUGGAAGCUGACGUCAAACAAUAUGAGGUAAAAGGUAAGUAUUAACUGU